UUUCCCUCAGGAUAGCUGGCACUCGCUUGAGCGAGUCUCAUCUGGUAAAGCGAAUGAUUAGAGGCCUUGGGGCCGAAACGACCUCAACCUAUUCUCAAACUUUAAAUGGGUGAGAUCUCUGGCUUGCUUGAACGUUGAAGCCACGAGAUAAAUUUUUUCAAUGGAUCAGAGUGCCAAGUGGGCCAAUUUUGGUAAGCAGAACUGGCGCUGUGGGA
rnacentral:rRNA from 1 species